UACGGAGGUGGCAAGCGUUGCUCGGAAUCACUGGGCGUAAAGGGCGCGUAGGCGGGGAGGUAAGUCGGGUGUGAAAUCCCUCGGCCCAACCGAGGAACUGCGCCCGAGACUGCUUCUCUUGAGUCCCGGAGAGGAAGAUGGAAUUCCCGGUGUAGCGGUGAAAUGCGUAGAUAUCUGGAGGAACACCGGUGGCGAAGGCGGCAUCCUGGACCGGCAUUGACGCUGAGGCGCGAAAGCUAGGGGAGCAAACGGG
rnacentral:rRNA from 1 species